AUGCCAAAAUGGUCCCUUUCUGAUGUGCAACUUGUAUCGUCAGGGCCUGAAACUGUAAGGCCAGGACAAAACCUAAACCUGCUCUGCAAAGUUACAGGGGUCUCCAUCACUAGUAGUAGUUAUGCUUGGAACUGGGUCCGUCAGCCUCCAGGGAAAGGGCUUGAAUGGAUUGCCAGAAUCUAUCCUAAUGAUGGGAGAAAAUGGUAUUCAACGUCUCUUCAAAGCCGCACCACCAUUGCUUCAGACAACUCCAAAAAUGAGUAUUCCCUUCAGCUGAACUCCGUGUCAGCUGCCGACACUGCUGUGUAUUAUUGUGCCCGAGAUGCACAGUAG